rnacentral:rRNA from 1 species
CCCAUGCGGUGCUUAUAAUGCAGUCGAGCGGUACCGCCUUUCGGGCGCUGACGAGUGGGGGACGGGUGCGUAACGCGUAUGAAUCUGCCGAUUUUGGGGGAGGAUUGCGGAAACUCGGGGGGCUCAUACCGCGCCCUACCGGGGAAAGCGGGGGACCUUCGGGCCUCGCGCUCAUCAAUGAGCCUGCGUUGGAUUAGAUAAUUGGUAGGGUAAAGGCCUUGAAGGCGACGAUCCAUACCUGGUCUGAGAGGACUAUCAGCCCCGCUGGGACGGAGACACGGCCCAGACUCCUACAGGAGGCAGCACUGGGGAAUAUUGAAGCAUGGGCGAAAGCCUGAUCCAGCAGUACCACGUGUGUGAACAACGCCUGAGGGUUGUAAAGCACUUUCAAUCGGUAGGAACAUUUGGUGGUUAAUAACCAUCCGUCUGACCUUACCGAUACAAAAGGUACCGGCUAACUCCGUGACGGCUCACGCGGUAAUACCGAGGGUGCAAGCGUUAAUCGAAAUUACGGGGCGUAGAACGUGCGAAUGCGGCCUGUUAAGUCGCAUGUGAAAGCCUCGGGCUUAACCUGGGAACUGCAUUCUGAUACUGGGAGGCUAGAGUUGCUAGACUCGAGUGUAAUUUCCGGUGUAGCGAUUGAAAUGUGUAUAGAUCAGAAGGAACAUGUGUGGAGAAACGACUCCCUGCAGUGAAACUGACGCUCAUGUACGUAAGCGUGGGUAGCAAAUCGAUUAGAUACCCUGAGUAGUCCACACCCUAUACGAUGUCACUACCACUUGGUUCUAUUUAUAUAAGAUGAGUGGACGCCGCUCACUCAUUAAGCUGACCCUCAUGCAGAGUACGGCCCGCCACUGUUGAGUCUCAACGCAAUUGCUCA